rnacentral:rRNA from 1 species
AGUGAACGCUGGCGGCGUGCUUAACACGUGCAAGUCGAACGAGAACGGAAUAUAGCUUGCUAUAUUUGUCAGCUAAGUGGCGCACGGGUGAGUAAUGUAUAGAUAACCUGCCUUUAAGAAAGGAAUAACAGUUGGAAACGACUGCUAAUGCCCUAUAUGCCUUUAAUACAUAAGUAUGCAAGGGAAACGCUUUAGUGCUUAAGGAUGGGUCUGUAUGGUAUCAGCUUGUUGGUGAGGUAAUGGCUCACCAAGGCUAUGACGCCUAACUGGUUUGAGAGGAUGAUCAGUCACACUGGAACUGAGACACGGUCCAGACUCCUACGGGAGGCAGCAGUGGGGAAUAUUGCACAAUGGACGAAAGUCUGAUGCAGCAACGCCGCGUGGAGGAUGACACAUUUCGGUGCGUAAACUCCUUUUAUAUAGGAAGAUAAUGACGGUACUAUAUGAAUAAGCACCGGCUAACUCCGUGCCAGCCGCCGCAGUAA